rnacentral:rRNA from 1 species
CUAUACAUGCAAGUCGAGCGGACGGAUGGGAGCUUGCUCCCUGAAGUCAGCGGCGGACGGGUGAGUAACACGUGGGCAACCUGCCUGUAAGACUGGGAUAACUUCGGGAAACCGGAGCUAAUACCGGAUAAUGCAUAACCUCUCAUGAGGUUAUGCUGAAAGAUGGUUUCGGCUAUCACUUACAGAUGGGCCCGCGGCGCAUUAGCUAGUUGGUGAGGUAACGGCUCACCAAGGCAACGAUGCGUAGCCGACCUGAGAGGGUGAUCGGCCACACUGGGACUGAGACACGGCCCAGACUCCUACGGGAGGCAGCAGUAGGGAAUCUUCCGCAAUGGACGAAAGUCUGACGGAGCAACGCCGCGUGAGUGAUGAAGGUUUUCGGAUCGUAAAACUCUGUUGUUAGGGAAGAACAAGUGCCGGAGUAACUGCCGGCACCUUGACGGUACCUAACCAGAAAGCCACGGCUAACUACGUGCCAGCAGCCGCGGUAAUACGUAGGUGGCAAGCGUUGUCCGGAAUUAUUGGGCGUAAAGCGCGCGCAGGCGGUCUCUUAAGUCUGAUGUGAAAGCCCACGGCUCAACCGUGGAGGGUCAUUGGAAACUGGGGGACUUGAGUGCAGAAGAGGAAAGUGGAAUUCCACGUGUAGCGGUGAAAUGCGUAGAGAUGUGGAGGAACACCAGUGGCGAAGGCGACUUUCUGGUCUGUAACUGACG